GUGCCAGCAGCCGCGGUAAUACGUAGGUGGCAAGCGUUGUCCGGAUUUACUGGGCGUAAAGAGCGCGCAGGCGGUCGUAUAAGUCGAAUGUGAAAGCCCCCGGCUCAACUGGGGAGGGUCAUUCGAUACUGUUCGACUCGAAGGCAGGAGAGGGAAGUGGAAUUCCGGGUGUAGUGGUGAAAUGCGUAGAUAUCCGGAGGAACACCAGUGGCGAAGGCGACUUUCUGGCCUGUUCUUGACGCUGAGGCGCGAAAGCUAGGGGAGCAAACGGGAUUAGAUACCCCCGUAGUCC
rnacentral:rRNA from 1 species